CAAGCAGUCACAAGGGAUUCUAAGACCAUACAGACCAAUCUGUGCACGGCCUGGAAUGACUACAAGAAAGCCACCUGGUCCUUGUUUAGCACCUAUUUAGUUUGGGUUCUCCCCUCACUCCUGGCCAGAUCAUUGCAGUUUGUUUCCUGUUUCCCUGGUUUCCUGUGUUCCUGGCUCCUGCGUGCUGUAACUUGGUCCUGUGUCCUGUGUCUCCUGGUCUUCA